UCUGCUGAGUUGUCAAGGCAGAUCUACGUUCACCAUUGUGACAUCAAGUGUGUGGGGACCCGCGGGGAAUCACCAAGCCAAAUCUCUUCCUACUUCCUGUUCUGUUCCUGAUGCCCUGAUGGAGCCACUCCACCUCCUUCUAGAGUGGAAACGCAGCUAUAGCCAGCGGUGCCCCUUAUGGGCAUGUCCUGCACGCAGCCCUGGAUCCAGGAGAUGUGGUCUGUCUCAGGGAAUGAGGGCUGGAGAACAGAAGUGCAUGGCCCAGGCACUCACAGGGAGCCAGUGAGAGCCGGCAGCUUGGGACACAGGACAGGACAGCAGGCUUCUGAGCCAGACGGAGCACCUGUACAUCUGCACCGCACAUGAGGAUGGCAAGGAACCCCAGAGGAGGCACACGUGCAAAGAAAGCAAACCCAUGUCCUGAAUGGACCUCUGAAGGAGACACAGCCGGUGAAAAGGAGACGCUCACGCCGCCAUGAACAAAGGCCACCCUGGAACUUGUUUCUAAGACUUAGCAUGCUCUCUUCCUGUCUCUUUGCUUCUUUCUUAUGUACACCCAGGAAGAAAGCCUCUCAGCAGCCAUCUCGGGAACCCAGAUCUGUGCAGUCCACAGCAUUCGAGAGCCAGCCUCACCCAUCCUCUGCCUGUGUCUGCAGGAGGGCAGCCUGGGGAGGGCAUGGCCACCUGGGAGACACAGGGCAGAAGGGGCUAUGCCAGCUCUUGUCCAUCUCCUCCUUCCUAUGGCUCCUGCUUAGCCUGGGGAUGCUCAGAUCUAGCAGGCAGGGGCCUUGGAUAAGGAUGUGUUGGGGGGAGGUGAGGGACGAGGAAGUGGGGAACCCCCGCUCCCUGACAGCACCAGCUCCUAACAUUCACCAAAUCCCCCCAAACCCCCCAGUGCAUUUUAAAUCCUCUUGCAGUUGAAAAUGCACUGGGAACCUUUGAAGAUUAAUCUACAGCUUAAACCGUUCUCUUAAAAUGCUCACAAGCCUAAACUGCUUAAUGGAAACACUAAUGAGACUGAAUUCUGUGACUCAGAAUUAACAUAAUUAACCAAUUUAUGGGCAUGGAUUAAUUUAGCUGUUAUGUACUUAACAUUUUUGUGUUUAUGAAAGGAAAAACAGGAUUCAGUUCCCCAAUCAAAAUAUGGAGCAAAAACGCCAACAGGAA